GGAAUAUUGGGCAAUGGACGAAAGUCUGACCCAGCAAUGCCGCGUGCGGGAUGAAGGUCUUCGGAUUGUAAACCGCUGUCAAGAGGGACGAAACAUGACGGUACCUCUGGAGGAAGCCACGGCUAACUACGUGCCAGCAGCCGCGGUAAUACGUAGGGGGCAAGCGUUGUCCGGAAUGAUUGGGCGUAAAGGGCGCGUAGGCGGCUCGGUAAGUCUGAAGUGAAAGUCCUGGUUUUAAGUUGGGAAUUGCUUUGGAUACUGUCGGGCUUGAGUGCAGGAGAGGUAAGUGGAAUUCCCAGUGUAGCGGUGAAAUGCGUAGAGAUUGGGAGGAACACCAGUGGCGAAGGCGACUUACUGGACUGUAACUGACGCUGAGGCGCGAAAGUGUGGGGAGCAAACA
rnacentral:rRNA from 1 species